rnacentral:tRNA from 1 species
GCCGACGUGGUGUAGUCCGGCUAGCAUGCGACCCUGUCACGGUCGUGACCUGGGUUCGAAUCCCGGCGUCGGCG